rnacentral:rRNA from 1 species
GACGAACGCUGGCGGCGUGCCUAAUACAUGCAAGUUGAGCGCUGAAGGUUGGUACUUGUACCAACUGGAUGAGCAGCGAACGGGUGAGUAACGCGUAGGGAAUCUGCCUUUGAGCGGGGGACAACAUUUGGAAACGAAUGCUAAUACCGCAUAAAAACUUUAAACACAAGUUUUAAGUUUGAAAGAUGCAAUUGCAUCACUCAAAGAUGAUCCCGCGUUGUAUUAGCUAGUUGGUGAGGUAAAGGCUCACCAAGGCGAUGAUACAUAGCCGACCUGAGAGGGUGAUCGGCCACAUUGGGACUGAGACACGGCCCAAACUCCUAAGGGAGGCAGCAGUAGGGAAUCUUCGGCAAUGGACGAAAGUCUGACCGAGCAACGCCGCGUGAGUGAAGAAGGUUUUCGGAUCGUAAAACUCUGUUGGUAGAGAAGAACGUUGGUGAGAGUGGAAAGCUCAUAAAGUGACGGUAACUACCCAGAAAGGGACGGCUAACUACGU